UACGGAGGGUGCGAGCGUUUAUCGGAAUUACUGGGCGUAAAGCGCGCGUAGGCGGCUUGUUAAGUCGGAUGUGAAAGCCCCGGGCUCAACCUGGGAACUGCAUCCGAUACUGGCGAGCUGGAGUGCGAUAGAGGGGGGUAGAAUUCCUGGUGUAGCGGUGAAAUGCGUAGAUAUCAGGAGGAAUACCGGUGGCGAAGGCGGCCCCCUGGAUCGACACUGACGCUGAGGUGCGAAAGCGUGGGUAGCAAACAGG
rnacentral:rRNA from 1 species